rnacentral:rRNA from 1 species
GAUGAACGCUGGCGGCGUGCCUAAUACAUGCAAGUCGAGCGAACGGACGAGAAGCUUGCUUCUCUGAUGUUAGCGGCGGACGGGUGAGUAACACGUGGAUAACCUACCUAUAAGACUGGGAUAACUUCGGGAAACCGGAGCUAAUACCGGAUGAUAUUUUGAACCGCAUGGUUCAGAAGUGAAAGACGGUCUUGCUGUCACUUAUAGAUGGAUCCGCGCUGCAUUAGCUAGUUGGUAAGGUAACGGCUUACCGAGGCAACGAUGCAUAGCCGACCUGAGAGGGUGAUCGGCCACACUGGAACUGAGACACGGUCCAGACUCCUACGGGAGGCAGCAGUAGGGAAUCUUCCGCAAUGGGCGAAAGCCUGACGGAGCAACGCCGCGUGAGUGAUGAAGGUCUUCGGAUCGUAAAACUCUGUUAUUAGGGAAGAACAUAUGUGUAAGUAACUGUGCACAUCUUGACGGUACCUAAUCAGAAAGCCACGGCUAACUACGUG